rnacentral:lncRNA from 1 species
GUUAGUCCUCCAUUUCCAGAUUACAAGCUCCCUGGGAACAGGGACUCCUUUCUUUGCUAUGUACCCCAAAACUAGAACAGUGCUGGCACAUGGAUUAUUUAGUAUGUGUUGAACGAUUCUUUUGUGAUGAUUUUUAUUCCAGAAAAUUCUGAGAUUAUCAAAAUCUUUUAAAAUAGCUGAGUCCUCUGGAUACCCAUCUUAAGAAAUGUAAUUAGUAUGAAUCCAGUAGGGAUACACAAAACAAUGUAUAUUUUCAAGCUUUCUCUAAAAUUAAAGCAGAGAAUGGUUAUGUUCAGUAAAGAAUUUCUGUUUUCUCUUUUCCAUUAUCUGUGGUUCUUCAAGCAUCUGUUCCUUCUUCAGGUCAUUAUUUCCUCCCUGCCUCCUUCCAUCUAUUUCAUGACUCAUUUCAGCAUCUUUAAACUCACCGGGUGUUUUUACUUUUCCUUCAAAGGGACUCUGCUUUCUCCAUCAUGUGAAUUUCCCCAAGGGCUGCAAUUCUAUUACUUGGUCUCCUGGAGAGCCUUCUCAUUCCUCUUUGUCUACCCUCAGCACACAGAGAUCGUUACAAUAAUUCUCCUCAGCCAUCUUUUCUCUCAUGUCGCUCCUUCUGCUCAAAAAUGGUUAUCUGUUGCCCAUAGAUGAAGGUUAUAUUCCUUUGCCUGGUUUUCAGUAUCUCCUAUCACCUCUCCUCACUAACUGUAUCUCCAGGAAUGUUUGUUUUUUCCCAGACUACAAAACAGUUCUCUAGCACCAGCUAGUGUCCUCCAGCUCAACUUGAUUCUAACACUAUAUACCUGGAGAUGAAGUCAGAUCCCACAGGUCAAAAUGCUCAGUCCUGCAUGGCUGACCCCACUUCAGAAGCCAAUUCCAGGUCCAGGUUGUGGUGCUUCUGACCAACUGGCUGUAAAUCAGAGGUUUCCAAGACGUCCUCUUCAGUCUUGAGUAAUUUACUAGAGCAGCUCACAGAAAUCUGGAGACUAGUUUACUCAUUAGAUUACCAGUUUACUACAAAGGAAACAGGGGUGACUGCUAGGUAGCUUCAGUCGUGUCUGACUCUUUGCAACCCCUUGGACUAUAGCCUGCCAGGCCCCUCUGUCCAUGGGAUUCUCCAAGCAAGAAUACUGG